UACGUAGGGGGCAAGCGUUUAUCCGGAAUCAUUGGGCGUAAAGCGCGUGUAGGCGGUUCCGUAAGUCCGCUCUGAAAGCCCAGGGCUCAACCCUGGGAGGCGGGUGGAUACUACGGAACUGGAGUACGGAAGAGGAGAGUUGGAAUUCCUGGUGUAGCGGUGAAAUGCGCAGAUAUCAGGAGGAACACCAACAGCGAAGGCAGAUCUCUGGGACGUUACUGACGCUGGAGACGCGAAAGCGUGGGGAGCAAACAGG
rnacentral:rRNA from 1 species